GAAAUCACUAAGAAUUCUUGGCAUUCGCUAAUUACUUCAUCCAGAACACCUGUGUAUGUUUAACAGCUGUAAGCUAUGUAUAUAUUGAAAUUCUGGUUAUAAUAAACUCAGAGUGGCCAUCAGCCCUCUCCGCAUCUAUCCUGAUGUGUACAUUGGAUUGCGACACCGACACUCAGUAGUUUGGUUUCUGAGGACUUCAGUAGGUUUUAAGGAUGUAGCAUGGCCUGAAGCAGCUUCUGCCUGUCACUUCAGACUGCAACAACCUUUCAUUGGCUUCCCAUCCUUCUCUGUUUGCGGUCAUAAGAGAAAAUCUUAAGGUACUAUUGCAAACCUACAAGAUAUGUACACUCUUCUGCUUUCCUGAAAUAUUUGCUGGUGACUGGAAGUUUUUUAUGGAGGAAGCACAGUUUGUGUUGGACUUGAGGUGACUUGACACUGAUCCCUUGGAACAGAUGGCAGCUAACCACUGAUGUCACAGUAGCAAACCUUCAGGGAUGACACCUGGAGACCACAGAUAUGACCACAUUAUACAGCUGGAGCGCAAGCCGUGGAUGGCAAUAUACCUGAGAAAGAAAAUUAUUAUUGCAACUGAGACCAUUUGGAGCUACUGGAACAGCACGAGGGACUCUGUUAACUUUACUUACUUCCGUCAUGUCAUGCCUCUCACUGCCUUCUGCUCAACCUCACGGUCUUGUCAAACGAAGGCGAAAGAAUUCCAGAUCUCAGACGCGUGCCAGGAGAUUACUGAAACACAUUCUGGAACAGGAGGAGGGCGGAAAAAAUAACGCCACGUCUUCUGCAUCUGUUACGUGUGCUGCUGCAAGUCGUUAUCCUGUAGCCAAGCUCUCGCCUCCCAAAACCCGCUCCCCCGACUUCAGGAUGUCUGUCACACCCUGCUUCGCGUCAGCAGUCAGCUUCUCGAUGUCAGUGUUGUGAGCACAGUAAUACCGGCAUCAACCUCGCUUUCACAUACCCCAGAGGCCUAAGGUGUAUACACGUAUAGAAAGGUGGGCUCAUUUACUAUGUGCAUAAUGUGCAUUCAUAAUUUUCAUAGGCAUUAUAUGCAUCCUAUUAAAAUUUAGUUGGGCAUUUAUCAUGUAUUUAAUGUGGUUCUAGCUGUUACUUUAACUCAGAUAUUAUGAAAAGUAAAGAGAUAAACAUGAUGAUAGGACAAAAGAAAAAUUGAAAGCGUUAAGAAAUAAACAAGGGGACGGUAUUUUAGUUGUCUCUGCUAUUUCCAGAAUGAAUAAUUGACAGAAUGACUCAGGGAGUAUCCAGAGAAAAGGCUGGGACAUCCUUUCAGAUUAUACACAUCCUGGAAGUUGGUUUCUCCCUAAUGAUAAGAAGGGAUGUUUAUGAAACGCACACCAUCACUGAAGCACAAAAAUCAAAGAAUUAUCCACAAAUAAUAAACAGCUAAAGCCUAUGCUUCAUGAAAUUGGAUGAUAUUUGCAACUUCAGCGUUUGAGCAGAUCUGUGCAGCGAUAUAGGAUCAGAAAUAUCUAGAAUAAGUAAUAGAUGAAGAAACCUCUGUAAUUUAGAGCCUAAAUGUCCAUGCAAGAUAGUCUUUUUUCAUUGUGCAUCAGCAGCAAAAGGGAUGCUGUUCAAGCUGAGCUGGCACUAGAUUUCCGACAGAGAAAGUUGAGGAGGAAACCUAGCAGACCCCUAAAGCCACUGAGAGUUUCUUCCCCAUCUGGCCAAUGGAGUAAUAAAUACCGUAAUGACGGGGAUUGGGAACAACAGUAAUCUCACACUGAAGGGUGUGGUAAGAUCUUGUUUAUUUAUGAUUAAACUAAGAUUUUAGUGAACUGAGUAUUGUCCAUUUCCCAAUCUGAAUAAGUCAUUUUCAACAUAUGCUGAAGUUAUCUUCAAAAAGUUCUGUGACAAAGAAUUCCUUUGUUGGUUAUAGGUAUAAACUUAGACUCUAAUCAUACCAGAUACUGCUUUGAGGGUUUCCUAUGGGAAUGAGCAGAGUAGUUGUGAGCCCCACUUACAGGAUUCUGUCUUGCAGCUAGUGCUCUCUAGGUGUUCAUUCUUCCUGACACAUUGACAGCUGGGGAUUUCCCUAAUGGUGAGUUUUAAACAGAUAUUUGGGAGGCCAGAGAGAAGGAAUUUAGUUGCGUGAAUAUCUAACCCUUGUUUAUAUAGAGGUUGAGUCCAAGACGUAGAUUUAAAUCUAGGUCCAUAAAAUAUAAAUAGGUAUAUAGGAUACAUGUGCACUAAAAAUUUUAACACCCUGUUAGCAAAACUUUCCUGAAUAUUUUGUCUUUUCAGGAUGGCUAUUUAUGUUUCUUUCAAAAUAAUUCUUACAUAAGGUAUGUUGUUCUUUACGUUUGCUAUAUCUAUGCAGGAGUCAAAAUUUAUAGUAAAUAUAUCAUUUGAGGAUAUAAAAUGUUGCUGGAGAUCAUUACAUGAAAACUGAAAAAGCAAAAUAAGCAUAUGAUUAAAGGCAAAAUUGGUGAUAUGGAUAUCACAGAGUAUUUGUGAUAUCCCAUUCAUUCAUUCAACAAAUAUUAAGUGCCUACUGUCUACCAGGCAUUCUUCUAGGCACUGGAGGUUAGAUGAGAGAGGCAGACACUUAUUACUUAAUUAUUAAUUAUUAUUGGGAAAGGGUUAACUCUGGUGGAGAUAAAACAAGGAAAAUGGUCCUUGUUAUACCAUGGGUGAUCAGGGAAGAGCUCUCUGUUAAGGUUCCUGAAAGGGAAGGUUUGAGCCAGGAAGGUAGAGUGCUCCAGGGCGAGGAAGCAGCAUGUAGAAUGAGACAGGUGACAUUCAAGGAGCCAGGUAGAAAACAUAAGUCACGUUUGGCCUUGGAAGCCACUGACAGCCCUUGAGCUUCUUCUGACAGAAGGAACCGUCUGAAGAGUUUUGAAGAGGACGAUGACAUCAUUUGACCAGGAUGCUCUGACAGUUCAAAGGAGAGAUAAUGGUGGUAUUAACAAGUGCAGUAGCCAUCAAGGUGGUGAGAGUGGUCAGAUUGUGAAUACAUUGUGGAAAUGAAGCUGAUGUUUGCUGGAAGUGGGGGAGGAAGAGAAUUCAAGAAGUCAAGGAGGAGUCCAGGUUUUUUGACGUGACCAGCUGGGAGAAGGAAGUUGCGACCUACUGAGAUGAGAGUUGCAGAAAGAGCAUCGUGAUGUGGAGGCGGGAAAUCAGAAGUUAGUUUGGGGUGUGCCACAGACCUCCCAGUGGAGAUGCAUUACAGACGGCUUCAUAUAUGAGUCUGGAAAUCAAUGGAGAGAUUCGGGCAAGGAAUAUACACUUGGCAGUUGUCAUUGUGGCCUUCAGUGUUUAGAGGUUGGGGGGGUGAGAAGGAAACAAAGGAGACUGAGAAUGACUGGUUAUUGGAAAAACUGAGAACCAAGAGAGUGGGCUUCCAAGAUCCAAGUGAUGAGACUUCAUAAAGAAGGGAGUGAGCACUGAACAAACGAUAAUUUACC
rnacentral:lncRNA from 1 species